UCCAACAGAAAGCCGCAGCUGUUGUUGUCCAAGGUGGUUGUCACAGUGCUCCUCAAGGCCAUGGCUGCCUUUUGCAACUUCGAUAUAAUUCAAUCUGCAACAGGCUUCCGCAUUGCUUCUAAUUUUGAUGGUGUGCUCUACGCCUCAUUUCUGGGAUCUAGACAUGCUGCUCAAUUGGAUUUUCGAGUGUUCUUGUAUGGCGAGCAGACCAUUUCAUAGUGGAUGAAGUUUAUGGCUAUGAAUGACCCCUAUUUAUUACAAUGGAAGUAUCAUUUACCUCAACUAGGUAAUGUACUAGGUCUGAGUAAGAAUGGUGUGUGUUUAGUUAUAUGAGUGAGUGUGGUCAGUAAUAAUUGUGUGUUUUAAGUAUAUUGUUGUCUGAAUAUUAAAUUCUUUAGUGUUUCUAGUAUAUUGUUGUCUGAAUAUUCAGUUAUUUAGUGAGUUAUCUAGGCGUAUUAAGUGUUUUCAGAUCAUCAAUGUGUGUGUGUUCCUAUCCUUUUUGGAAGAACUUUGUCAUUUUAAAUAUGUAAAUAAUUAAAUAUCCUUUUUUUCUUUUAUCUUCAGUGUGGAUGUAUUCAAGCUGCUAGCACACAAGGUAUAUAUCACAUGCACUAUUUGUGGGAGGUUUUUGGCAGAUCCUACCACUAAUGAGUUGUACACAGCCACCCAUUUCAUAACUGCCAUGUUACGCAUUGGAGACUGGUUGUGACAGGUUUUUUUUUUUUGAGAAUGUGCUGGUGGCUCUAUAUUAUUUGUGAAUUUCUACAUUAGAAGCAAUCUAUGUACUGCAAGAUAAAUACACAUCACUUUUUGUUGUAUGAUCAAGAUUGAUCCAUUUAUUUCUUACUACCUACAUGGCUUCAUUACAAAGAGUCACAUGGGGGGAAGAAGAUGUGAGCUCAGUUUGUUGCUGGAUGGAUCUCGCACAAAUUUGUUUAUAUCUUUAGUGUUGUUUUAUGUAAGUUUUUUGUCUUCUUUUUAUUACUAUUUUUCCUUUUAAAGGAGACUAUUGAUUCUUACCUUUGAGAUUCCUUAUUCAGUAUCUCUUCCAUUCUUUGAGGUCUUGUCUUGCAGCCCCUAUAAACUUUGUUUAAAAUACUAGGUUACUACCUUAUCGGAAUUGAGAGUAAACUGUAGUCUUGACAUAUUGUGUUUUUCUGUGUCAACUUUGUUAAAUGGCAUUCACUUGCAACAAGGAGGAAACAUAUAUUUACUUCUUGAGUGGUUAAUUAAUUUUGAAAUGCAUCCUGCUUGCCUGCACCCACAUUGUGGCAUGUUCCUUUUUUUUUCUUCCUGCAGCAACUCAUGCCUCAUAGAACAAGGAACAAAGCAAUUUUUCCACAGGGCCUUUGUGCAAAUGAAUUUUAGAAAGCAUGUUGGACUAUUCGUAUCGAAACCUAGUGAUCAUUUCAUUACUUGGUUGUUCAAUCCCGUUUUCAUUUAUUUUGCUCCUCUUGUUUCCCGAUGGAAAUGUCAGCAUUGCGGUUUCACCCUGGAGGAGGACCUCAAAGCCACAAAGAUUGAGUAAUUGUCUUUUUUUUUACUUCUGUAGAUAUGUCUUCAUAUUUGUAUACCACCAUAAUGCUCUGAAAAAUAUAAAUUGUAACAACUGCUCAUGGUGGGGGAUUGUCAAGAAGGAUGACCCACUUUUCACGCUACUGAUAGUGGCUGAAAUUGAUGAGCACCCGAGAGCCAUCAACCCUAGCAAGCAGGUCUGAAGGCCCAACAGAACAAUGUGCUCUGCCACAUCUGAAUCUUUAACAGCUUCUGAAAUAUCAACUGGUAGCUGAUUACAUACCAGUGUUGUGGUUCAGUUUUCAGUUAACGUUGAUUCAGUUUUAGUCAUAUUCAUUUUGAGUGCAAGACAAUUUUGAAUCAGUCUUUUAGUUAUUUUUUUUACGUGCUUCAUUAUAUUGCUGUUUUUUAUCUGUUGUAGCUGCAAAACCAUUGCCUUUCUUGUUAAAUAAUUCAGAUCUUCAUUAUUCA
rnacentral:lncRNA from 1 species